rnacentral:lncRNA from 1 species
CGCCUCGCUCGUUCUCCUCUUCAGCCUCGCGCUGGCUUCCCUGCUCCGUUGACUAUAUAUCUGCCUCUGCAAUCACGGCCCCACAGGCCACGAACCAACCGUCAUGACUGUUGGCGUCCCGGCGCCUCGAAUUCGGUGCGAGUGUGUACGCGUGUUGUUGUCGUCAGCUGCCCCGUCGGGUUGUUCAGUUGCUGGCUUGUUUGCUUGGGGUCUCCGGUCUCCGUCGUGCGUGCUUUGAGAGAGCUGUGACUGACGGCGCAGGACCAUGACUGUAAUAACGGAAGCCGAGUCGUGCACGGGCUUUGUCACCCUAUGACGACGUCGCCGUGUAGUAGUGCUGUGGAAUCCAAAUCAAUCCCACACGUGUUCAUCCAAUGUUUGUUUCUCCUCGAAGGUGCUCAACGUCGAGCUGCCCGAUGUAACGCCUCA